ACUUACCGAAGGUAGGCUAAUAUCAGAUGAUACAAAUUCACGACAUCGUGAGCUUGUCAAAUCUUCGGAGCCUUGGGAUGAGCCUGCGUCUGAUUAGGUAGUUGGUAGAGUAAUAGCCUACCAAGCCUACGAUCAGUAGCUGGUCUGAGAGGAUGAUCAGCCACACUGGAACUGAGACACGGUCCAGACUCCUACGGGAGGCAGCAGUAAGGAAUAUUGCUCAAUGGGGGAAACCCUGAAGCAGCAACGCCGCGUGAAGGAUGAAGUACUUUUGUAUGUAAACUUCUGUAAGAUGGGAAAAAUAUCCGGCUCGGUCGGAUUGAUUGUACCAUCAGAGUAAGCCCCGGCUAACUACGUGCCAGCAGCCGCGGUAAUACGUAGGGGGCAAGCGUUGUCCGGAUUCACUGGGUGUAAAGGGUGCUCAGGCGGACUUGUAAGUCAGAGGUGAAACUCCGAGGCUCAACCUCGGAACUGCCUUUGAUACUGCAAGUCUCGAGUACGGGAGAGGGUAAUAGAAUAACAGGUGUAGCAGUGAAAUGCGUAGAUAUCUGUUAGAAUACCAAUGGCGAAGGCAGUUGCCUGGCCCGUUACUGACGCUAAAGCACGAAAGUGUGGGGAGCAAACAGGAUUAGAUACCCUGGUAGUCCACACCCUAAACGAUGAGAACUAGUUGUUGGCCCUUUUAAGGGUCAGUGACUUAGCUAACGCAUUAAGUUCUCCACCUGGGAAGUACGAUCGCAAGGUUGAAACUCAAAGGAAUUGACGGGGGCCCGCACAAGCAGUGGAGCAUGUGGUUUAAUUCGAUGCAACGCGAAGAACCUUACCUAGGCUUGAAACGCAAGUUAAAUUUGAUGAAAGUCAUUGUCUCGCAAGAGGAACUUGUACAGGUGCUGCAUGGCUGUCGUCAGCU
rnacentral:rRNA from 1 species